UAUAUUUUUGGAGAUGAGUUUAAAUAUUUAUUUAUUUAAACGUUUCCUUUAUAAUUUCUUCAAAUAGGCUAUAGCCUAUACAUAGUAUUAGGUCUAUUAAACCACGGAUUCAGUCGUUUGUCUGUAAUGUUGCAGGAGAUGUGACGCCUGCGCGGUCUCAAUCUGAAGCUGUUUUCUUGGCGCGGUUCAGUGUCUUGUGGAUGCCGCAGGUGACAUCCGCCCAUUCAGCGCACAGAACAGACGCGAGUCCGUGACCCAUCACACCUCCUCACCAGCCAAAAAAGGAGUACGUGUUCAGUGAGAGGAACGUACACCAAGCGCAGUGGGAAAAAAGCGAGUUGGCCGUUCACAGUGUUUGAGACUGCCAGUCCCCGGCUCACCAGCUCAGGAAACCUGCGAUCCAGCAGAGAGCAGUUGGCAGACACAACAGAACAGGCUGCACUGAGACGGAGGGGGUGAUGGAGCGAGUGAGGGUGUGAGGAGAACAACUUACAGAAUGAGAUGAGAAGAACUCGCCUUAACCAGAUAUGAGCCGGGCUCCACUGAGCAUGCCCAAUAGUGUCGGCCCUGCGUUAUGGCCACAUCACCCACAAGCAGAUCAGCUGUCAGGUGACAGGAAGUGAGGGCACGAUCGGCGGCCUGAAGCAGGGACA